ensembl:miRNA Mir1951 microRNA 1951
UGGGUGGGGGUUUAGAAACCACCUCUCUUCACUUACUUCUGAAAGUUAAAAGGUAGUGGAGACUGGUGUGGCUAAACCUCUUGCCUCCC